rnacentral:rRNA from 1 species
AGAGUUUGAUCCUGGCUCAGGACGAACGCUGGCGGCGCGCCUAACACAUGCAAGUCGAACGAGAGAUGAGGAGCUUGCUCUUCAGAUCGAGUGGCGAACGGGUGAGUAACGCGUGAGGAACCUGCCUCAAAGAGGGGGACAACAGUUGGAAACGACUGCUAAUACCGCAUAAGCCCACGGCUCGGCAUCGAGCAGAGGGAAAAGGAGUGAUCCGCUUUGAGAUGGCCUCGCGUCCGAUUAGCUAGUUGGUGAGGUAACGGCCCACCAAGGCGACGAUCGGUAGCCGGACUGAGAGGUUGAACGGCCACAUUGGGACUGAGACACGGCCCAGACUCCUACGGGAGGCAGCAGUGGGGAAUAUUGCACAAUGGGGGAAACCCUGAUGCAGCGACGCCGCGUGGAGGAAGAAGGUCUUCGGAUUGUAAACUCCUGUUGUUGAGGAAGAUAAUGACGGUACUCAACAAGGAAGUGACGGCUAACUACGUGCCAGCAGCCGCGGUAAAACGUAGGUCACAAGCGUUGUCCGGAAUUACUGGGUGUAAAGGGAGCGCAGGCGGGAGAACAAGUUGGAAGUGAAAUCCAUGGGCUCAACCCAUGAACUGCUUUCAAAACUGUUUUUCUUGAGUAGUGCAGAGGUAGGCGGAAUUCCCGGUGUAGCGGUGGAAUGCGUAGAUAUCGGGAGGAACACCAGUGGCGAAGGCGGCCUACUGGGCACCAACUGACGCUGAGGCUCGAAAGUGUGGGUAGCAAACAGGAUUAGAUACCCUGGUAGUCCACACCGUAAACGAUGAUUACUAGGUGUUGGAGGAUUGACCCCUUCAGUGCCGCAGUUAACACAAUAAGUAAUCCACCUGGGGAGUACGACCGCAAGGUUGAAACUCAAAGGAAUUGACGGGGGCCCGCACAAGCAGUGGAGUAUGUGGUUUAAUUCGACGCAACGCGAAGAACCUUACCA